rnacentral:antisense_RNA from 2 species
CUUCACCGAGCCGAGCCACACCGGCCGGUCCUCCGGCCGGUCCUGUCCGUAGGUCGCCAGCAGCGCCUGGGCCUC